rnacentral:rRNA from 1 species
AUUGAACGCUGGCGGCAGGCCUAACACAUGCAAGUCGAACGGCAGCACAGAAGAGCUUGCUCUUUGGGUGGCGAGUGGCGGACGGGUGAGUAAUGUCUGGGAAACUGCCCGAUGGAGGGGGAUAACUACUGGAAACGGUAGCCAAUACCGCAUAACGUCGCAAGACCAAAGUGGGGGACCUUCGGGCCUCACACCAUCGGAUGUGCCCAGAUGGGAUUAGCUAGUAGGUGGGGUAAUGGCUCACCUAGGCGACGAUCCCUAGCUGGUCUGAGAGGAUGACCAGCCAAACUGGAACUGAGACACGGUCCAGACUCCUACGGGAGGCAGCAGUGGGGAAUAUUGCACAAUGGGCGCAAGCCUGAUGCAGCCAUGCCGCGUGUAUGAAGAAGGCCUUCGGGUUGUAAAGUACUUUCAGCGGGGAGGAAGGCGGUGAGGUUAAUAACCUUGCCGAUUGACGUUACCCGCAGAAGAAGCACCGGCUAACUCCGUGCCAGCCGCCGCGGUAA